UACGUAGGGUGCAAGCGUUAUCCGGAAUUAUUGGGCGUAAAGAGCUCGUAGGCGGUUUGUCGCGUCUGCUGUGAAAACCCGAGGCUCAACCUCGGGCCUGCAGUGGGUACGGGCAAACUAGAGUGCGGUAGGGGAGAUUGGAAUUCCUGGUGUAGCGGUGGAAUGCGCAGAUAUCAGGAGGAACACCGAUGGCGAAGGCAGAUCUCUGGGCCGUAACUGACGCUGAGGAGCGAAAGCGUGGGGAGCGAACAGG
rnacentral:rRNA from 1 species